GAUGAACGCUAGCGGCAGGCCUAACACAUACAAGUCGGAAGGGUAACAUUGUGCUUGCACAGAUGACGACCGGCGCACGGGUGCGUAACGCGUAUGCAAUCUACCUUUUACAGUGGGAUAGCCCAGAGAAAUUUGGAUUAAUACCAUAUAGUUUAUUAGAGUGGCAUCACUUUAAUAAUAAAGAUUUAUCGGUAAAAGAUGAGCAUGCGUUCUAUUAGUUAGUUGGUGAGGUAACGGCUUACCAAGACAGCGAUAGAUAGGGGCCCUGAGAGGGGGAUCCCCCACACUGGUACUGAGACACGGACCAGACUCCUACGGGAGGCAGCAGUGAGGAAUAUUGGACAAUGGGCGAGAGCCUGAUCCAGCCAUGCCGCGUGCAGGAAGACUGCCCUAUGGGUUGUAAACUGCUUUUAUACAGGAAGAAACACUGCUACGUGUAGCAGCUUGACGGUACUGUAAGAAUAAGGAUCGGCUAACUCCGUGCCAGCAGCCGCGGUAAUACGGAGGAUCCAAGCGUUAUCCGGAAUCAUUGGGUUUAAAGGGUCCGUAGGUGGAUAAUUAAGUCAGGGGUGAAAUCUUGCAGCUCAACUGUAAAAUUGCCUUUGAUACUGGUUAUCUUGAGUUAUUAUGAAGUAGUUAGAAUAUGUAGUGUAGCGGUGAAAUGCAUAGAUAUUACAUAGAAUACCAAUUGCGAAGGCAGAUUACUAAUAAUCAACUGACACUGAUGAC
rnacentral:rRNA from 1 species